UACAGAGGGUGCGAGCGUUAAUCGGAAUUACUGGGCGUAAAGGGCGCGCAGGCGGCCCUCCAAGUCAGGCGUGAAAACCCCGGGCUCAACCCGGGAAUAGCGCUUGAGACUGGGGGGCUUGAGUUCGGGAGAGGAGAGUGGAAUUCCCAGUGUAGAGGUGAAAUUCGUAGAUAUUGGGAAGAACACCGGUGGCGAAGGCGGCUCACUGGCCCGUAACUGACGCUCAUGCACGACAGCGUGGGGAUCAAACAGG
rnacentral:rRNA from 1 species